AUACGUAGGUGGCGAGCGUUGUCCGGAAUUACUGGGUGUAAAGGGCGUGUAGGCGGGGAUGUAAGUCAGAUGUGAAAUACCAUGGCUCAACUGUGGGGCUGCAUCUGAAACUAUGUUUCUUGAGUGCUGGAGAGGAAAGCGGAAUUCCUAGUGUAGCGGUGAAAUGCGUAGAUAUUAGGAGGAACACCAGUGGCGAAGGCGGCUUUCUGGACAGUAACUGACGCUGAGGCGCGAAAGCGUGGGGAGCGAACAGGAUUAGAUACCCUGGUAGUCCACGCCGUAAACGAUGGAUACUAGGUGUAGGAGGUAUCGACCCCUUCUGUGCCGGAGUAAACACAAUAAGUAUCCCACCUGGGGAGUACGGCCGCAAGGUUGAA
rnacentral:rRNA from 1 species